CACACGUGCUACAAUGGACAAUACAAAGGGCAGCGAAACCGCGAGGUCAAGCAAAUCCCAUAAAGUUGUUCUCAGUUCGGAUUGUAGUCUGCAACUCGACUACAUGAAGCUGGAAUCGCUAGUAAUCGUAGAUCAGCAUGCUACGGUGAAUACGUUCCCGGGUCUUGUACACACCGCCCGUUACACCAUGAGAGUUUGUAACACCCGAAGCCGGUGGAGUAACCAUUUGGAGCUAGCCGUCGAA
rnacentral:rRNA from 1 species